UCAUUUGCAUACGUACACAGCACAUCACUGUAAAUUUUUUAUUGCAAUGUAUAAUUUUAAUUAUUUAGAGUAUAAUAUAUUUUUUCAAGAUAGUUAUAUUUUUUAUUUGUUAUUUAUAUUUUUUUGUAAUUAUACAUCGUCCUUCAUUAAUUUGUACGUUAUUUAAUACGACCUACAAAUAUGAGUCGAUUUACUUAUUUUAAUACACAGUAUAAAAAUUAAUCAAAUCAAAAUCAUGUCAACUUUUUAAAGAUGAUAAUUUUUUCUUUGAUUAAUAGUAACAUACUAUUGAUUAAUAGUAGUAUACUAUUUAAUGGUUAAAAAGAUAAUUUUUUAAUUAAUUAAUUUAUUUAUUUUGAUUAAAGUAUGAAUUUCUUUUUAUUAUACAGGGGAGGGGGUUAUAUUUUUUCCACAACACAAAACAACACUUGCACACUAUACACACACACAAAUAAAGGCAUCAAAUCUCCAACGAACUGCACCCCUUUUGUUCUGCUUUGUCCGGCGAUACCCGCCACCGGUCAGACGCCAAGAUCGGCAGCCACCAGAUCCACUCAACCGUCGCUAUCCGCCAGCCGGAAACAUCCAUCAAACUGAAACUAGCCUCUACCACGCGCCAUCUCUCUUUCCCCCUCUUUUUCCGGCCGUCGUUCACCCCUUUUUGAGUUCUGGCGUGGAGCUCCAUGCUCCGAUGAACUGGAGCAGUUCUUGCUCCCCUUUUUUUCUCCCAUUUCUACUUAUAUUUGAUUAUUUUAAUCAUUGUUACACCAUUAAAUUUGAUAUUUGGUAUUGUAUGGAAAAUGUUUGGAUGAUUUGUUAAUUUUUGGUGACUUUAUUUUUGUUAAUAUAAUGUUUUGUACAGAUCUGGCCACAUCUGAUUUUUCAAUAAUUCUUUGACUGUUCGAGCUCAUUUUCUGCCACUCUCGUCCUUUCCGACGAACUAUGUCGGCUUGCAGUUUAUUCAUCAUCUAUGCUACUAAUUGCUACUGUUUUAUGUUGAUCAUCUAUGCUACUAAUUGCUACUGUUUUAUGUUGAUCACUGUGAUGCAGUUUGAUGACCUUGUUGGAAUUUUUUGACGCUCUUUUAUUAUCUGAAUUUGUUCAGUGUUGAUCCUAUUUUGAGACUAUUUUUGAUAAUUUUGUAAUUACAACUUUUUUUACUAAUAAUGAAUAAAAUGAAAUACUGGUCAAUGAAAUUAUCUUCCCGUUUGGAUAUUUGAGUUCACCCCAUUACAAAAAACACGAAUUUUAUUUUAUCAAAGUUAUUAAUACUUGACCAAUGAAAUUAUCUUUCCGUUAGAUAUUUGAGGUCAUUCCAUUUUUCUCAAAAUUAUUAGUUUAUAUCAAAAAUUGACACUUGGCCAAUCAAAUUUUUAAAGUCAUCCCAUAUAAAGACGGGCUUUACUUUCUAAAAUAUUAUUUUACAUCCAUUACAAAAAUGAACUUUACUUUUCUAAAAUAUUAUUUUAUAUCAAGGAUCGUCUCAUGGCCAAUGAAGAAACCCCCAUUAGUUUUCGAGGCCUUACCAAAUAAAAGAUGGACAUUACGAAUAUAAAUGCGUAACAAAAAAUAAAUAUUUUUGAGCAAUGACGAAAUCUUUAUAAUAUUUCAAAACUUUAUCGGAGCUCAUAUUUUAACAAAAAUUAUAUUUUUAAAUACGUAUAUGCACACAUAUUUUUAAUUUGUUUUGAUUAUUAUUUAUUUAUUAUUAAUAUUUUUAUUAUAAGUAUUUAUACAGGUUAUUAAGAAUGGUUAUUGAAAAUGGCAUUCAAAGAAGACUUUAUAUUAUGUGUUUAUAUUUUUUAUAUUUUACACUUGUACAAAUGUUAAUCAUAGUGAAAACUUUUUUUUUUAAGGAGUUGGACGGAAUAUUCUUUAUUUAUGCAAUCUUCAUCACGCGUUUAGGCAAAUUUAGGCUGAUAAUAUUUCUAUAAAAA
rnacentral:lncRNA from 1 species